rnacentral:tRNA from 1 species
ACUGCCUUAGUUUAUAAAAAUAUUAGAUUGUGAUUCUAAAGAAAAGAUACUUUCUUAGGUAGUA